GAACUUAAGCCCCAGUAAACGGCGGCCGUAACUAUACCGGUCCUAAGGUAGCGAAAUUCCUUGUCGGGUAAGUUCCGACCCGCACGAAAGGCGUAACGAUUUGGGCACUGUCGCAACAACAGACUCGGUGAAAUUGUAAUUCCGGUGAAGAUGCCGGAGACCUGCGACAGGACGGAAAGACCCCAUGGAGCUUUACUGUAGCUUGACAUUGGGUCUUGGUACUACAUGUACAGGAUAGGU
rnacentral:rRNA from 1 species